rnacentral:rRNA from 1 species
CUUGAUUUAAUAAGAGGUCCAGCCUGCCCAGUGACCUAGUUCAACGGCCGCAGUACCCUAACCGCGCGAAGGUAGCGUAAUCACUUGUCUUCUAAAUAAAGACUGGUAUGAAAGGCACCACGAGAAUUUAACUGUCUCCCUCUUCCAAUCAGUGAACCUAAUCUCCCCGUGAAAAAGCGGGGAUAUACCAAUUAGACGAGAAGACCCUAUGAAGCUUUAAACACCAGCCAACUGCCCACACACCAACGCUCCGGCGCUUUAGCUAACCCAUUAUGGUCACGUGUUUUAGGUUGGGGUGACCGCGGGAAAUAACCCAACCCCCGCAAUGAUAACCUUUAAACUGUAAGACACAACUUUGAGUAUCAAUAAAUUGACAUCCAUUGACCCAAUAUAUUGACUAAUGAAC